rnacentral:misc_RNA from 1 species
AACUGAUACUACCUGCGGGAACCUGCGGAAGGAUCAUUACCGAGUUAUCAACUCCCAAACCCCUGUGAACAUACCCGAACGUUGCCUCGGCGGGACCGCCCCGGCGCCCCUAGCGGCCCGGAACCAGGCGCCCGCCGGAGGACCCAAACUCUUGCUUUAAACAGUGGCAUACUCUCUGAGUCUCACAAACAAAAAAUAAAUCAAAACUUUUAGCAACGGAUCUCUAGAUCGGAAGAGCAC